UAAGCAUUGGCAGUGGAAGCGAGGUUAUCUUUUGCUAGAGACUUCUCUCUGCCUGAGACCUUCUGAAGUCCUUUCCAUUGCGUUAUAGCAUUACACCAGGAAAGAUUAGCUCAGCUACAAGGGGCUCCUUGGAAUGUCCAGACACAAAAAUAAGAGGAGGAAAAUGGAAAAAAACAAACAAACAACAACAACAACAACAACAACAAAAAACUUCCAUGAAAUUAUAAAGAAAUAUCUGUUUUCUUUUUAGCAGAUCUUAGAGUGGGUCACUCUCAAAGUUAUCCUCAGCUGCUUAAAACAAAAUAAAACCAACCAAACAAAAACCAAUGAUGAAGCAGUUUUUAGUCAUGUUUUCUGGAUCACCGUUAAGGGGUUGUGUGUAUGAUAUAAAAAUGUAUGUACUGUCUGCAACAGAAUAUAGAAACAUGACUUGGACUCCUUGAAUGUGUCCUCAGAUUUCUCCAGUGCUCAUAGUUAUGCUUUAUAAAGCUUAAAUUUUGGAAAUGCCACCGACUAUUUUAACGAGAGUUAGUACUUUCCAUUGCAGUAUCGCUUGUAGACUAAUUGCUAUUUGCAUUGGAACGCUGUUGCAUCAAAAAGUAUCAGCCCUGAGCCUGCUGAGAGGGAGUAAGGGCUGCUUUCCACCACAGGGACCAUACUGACCCUCAGCCCUCCACAGAAUCAGUGAGGGAGAGGAGGGAGACAGCGCUCAUCCCUCCUGCCCUGGCCAUCACUGCCAGCCAGCUGAACAAAACAGGGAUGAGCCAACAAACAGACAAGAGAGCAGUGACCCGUCUCCCACGUGCCAUCCUAGAGAAGUGUCUCUGGCUGGGGUCUGAAUGCGUCAGCCUGCCACAGGCUUAGUCCCAGGCAGCUGGUGAGUGCAUGCUGACAUGAUGUGGAAGAGUGACGGUGACCCCCUCACCUCCCUACAGCAACAGUGACUUCAUGUCUAAAAAAGGAAGAGCGCUUUCAAGAUAAAUCAAAACUGCUUAUUGUUUUUCCUCCUGCUUUUAUUUCUGUUCUUGCAGAAAGGUCAAGAGUGCUGGUGUAAUCAUUUUUAUGAGACAUCUGCCCAUUUUUAAUACUGUACAUUCACCACAGGCUAGGCCCAGCCAUCUCUAUGCCUGCAGCCCUUCUCUUGCUCUUGUAGGGCUGCCUGAAUCAGCCACGCUCUUCUACUUUGCUGGCCUGGAAGCACGCUGGACUGUGCUUUGAAGGCAGGCUCAUAUGCCAAGGGCUUCAAGUGUUUUAUCAAUCUUGGUUGGAAAUUGGAAGGAACUGUGGAUGCAGGCAAUAUGUUUCUGCUGACCCAUAUGUUAUGUCACAUAUAUUAGGGACCUGCUGAUCUUCUGGUUUAGGCAGGAUUAGGUUCUAGUCUCAACUUCACUGUUAUUUUCCUUCUUAUUUUGAUAAAUUCACUAAUCUGCACUUUGGCAUCUCCGUUUAUUAGACAAGGUGAAGCUACUAGUUCCUACAGCCAUUAUUGCACUGGGAUGCAGAGCAUCUCUGGCAGCUCUGGGCUCUUUGGAUGAAAGAUUUGUUACCUAACCCGGGGCAAUGUGGAGAGAUCUGUGAGUCAGUGUAAACUCAAGUGUCCCUGGCUUGGUUGCUGCAUUUUGUCACGUAGGAGCAGUUACAGAUGUGUUUGGAUGGCCCAUGUGAUAGGAAUACGCUGUGCGCACCCAGGGCUGCUAACAGUGAGAGGCAGCCAGCGUGGAGAAAACAAAUCUUUCACAAAGAGCCAUCUAAUGAAAUUUGUAGUACUAUUAGACUUUGAUACAAAUAUAGCCCUUCAGCUGUUAUUUUUAAAAUGGAUUUCAGGAACAUGAAUAGGUUCUGUCUUCUUUGGGUUUUAUCCAAUGAAAUUUCUGGAUUUGUGGGAGAACACUUCUAGGAGGAUAAGAGAAAUGACUCUGACCAGAUGAUGAGGGCCUUGGUGCUUGCCUCCCAGAGCAAAAAGCGUUUGUGCAUUGUGGUGGGUCAUCUGUUGUUACUCCGAUUCCUUGUACAAGCUGAACAUAUCAAGACAAACAUUCGCACUGGGGAUACCACGUGUCUGAAAUAGUUCAUUUUGAAGAUACAGAAGCUAUAAGAUGUGAAUGGAUGUGCUUUGCUAUCUGGACAGGUCCAGAUAUAAUCCCAUCAUCAACCUCCCUUCACAGUUAUUGCCUACAAAUGCUAACAGGCAAUGCCUGAGCUGCCAGAGGGUGAGCAGGUGAGAGAGCACAUCAAACCACUGGCCAGAGGCAGUGUUGGGAUCAGUGCAGGCCUGCUAACUGGGCCAGGCCCUCUGCAGGUUGCUGGAUGUGGCUUUGGAGGCAGCCUGCAAACAACUAUUGCCUCCUCUGCUUUACCUCCAGACUGCUCAGCAGAUCCAAAUCCAAACCUGGAUUUGGCCAUCAGCCAUAAGGCUGCUCCUUUACCUCAUGUUCAUAAGCAAACACAUCUAGCUGGUGGCUUUGGCCAUGGUCUGUCCUCCCCAUCCCAAUGCUUCAAGGCAGCUACAGUCCCCUGGAGAAAACACCGAGUCACAACAUUGUAUGGACUGGAAGGGACCUCUGGAGAACAUCUAGUCCAAUCCCCUGCUAAGGCAGCUGUCUUACAGAUGUAAUGAAAUGGCACAGAGAAGAUACUGCAAGCAGACCAUCUUAGGGUAACAAAAUGGUACAUGGACUCUUAAAUAUUAAAUGUGGAUGCUGAUGGGCACAACACUCAGGAUGUGGCUCCAGCUCUGCCACUGCUUCUCGCUCACUUCCCUUGCAUAAGCAGAAACAGCAAGCUCCAAAAGAGCACUAUGCUAAAGUACUUAAAUCAGUACUUAAAACAGUGAAUUAAAUCCAGCAAAUGCACUAAAAUACAAAAUUUCCAGAAAGUCAUGAAUCUUAAGGCUUUUCUCUUCAAGCUUAGAGAUGUGCUGCUGUUUGGAGAGCUGGAGAGGUAAACUUUGUGCAGGAUGGUCAGCACAGAAAGCCAGAUCUGCUAGCAGCCAUCAUUACUUUGAGAGACUGGGCCAAUGCAGCAGAGAUGGAUGACAGCUUUAAUAACAGAUGAAGUCAACCUGGGACAAGUAUGUCUCCAAUAAACCUAAACAUCACAGAAUGAGUUUGGAUUAUGCCAGCACCCAAAAAACACUGACCUAAAAAGCUUUUAUGUUGUAUCUGUUUCCUGAAAUGCUGCCUCAGAGCAAACACCAGAAGAAGAUGCUGCCCAGCAAGGGAAAACUAAAGAACUCCUUUACACCAGCAAUGUCCUAUCCCACCAUCCUCAUCUCUGGAUUGUGGCUGCAACUGUAUGAAAUGUGAAUAGACUGCCUUAAACCAAAUAAGAUCCCCCUAAAUUUGCUGUGGAUUUUGAUCUACACAAAAACUCCACAUAAUAUUUUCCCCCCACUUUUUCAGUUCACUGUAGGCUUGUGCUUUUCCUGCUGCCUGUAAACUGAGGGCUGUUUCCAGAGAGCUAUGAACUAGUCGGGUAAACAGCUGCUACUAGGCAAUAGUAGUGUGCUCAGCAGAAAGCCUGUCCUGAUUUACUGCCUCCCUCAAGUAGUUAGGUUAAAUAACACUGGUGGAAAUCAGCUAUUCCUGGAGCAGAUGAUUCUUCUGUUUAUCACAUUAUGUUGCAGACAACUUUAUAUCACGCAGCUGCUCUGGGCAUAUGUUCCUACUACAGUUUUAAGGGGGAUACUGUUAUCACUAUGCAGUGGGAACUUCUGCUAUAAUAAAAACGUGUGGGAUAAUGCUGGAGAAAUUCCCUUCCCUGCAGCUUUUACACUGCAGAUGCUGUUUCUCUGUACUCUCAGUUCACCUCUUUGUUUAGUUCUCUCCUCCUUUCUAAAAAUAAUUUCCCUCUAAAACAAGAAUCGUGCUGAGUUUUGUGCAUAGAUUGCAGGAUGGGACCUCAAGAAAUAGAAGAAGCAGUUCUGAAGGAGCUUUAUAGAGAUCAUGGGUGAUAGAGGGGUACAUGGCUCAUUGCAAGAAGUAGGGCUGUAACCUCAGGUGGAAAAAAGCUGAGUCUGAAUGUAGGCAGGGAAAGAGAGAGAAGCUGUGUUGGACUUCCAAGUACAGUGCUUGAUACCUGAUCUUUAGAGGUCAUUGAACAUGGAUGCAUUUGGGUUUUCUAGUAGAUUUCACUAAAUCCUUUGAAAAAUGAGUUUGUCAUUAGUACCAAAAUAAAAAUAAUACCAGAUAAAUGUACUGGUUGCUCAGGCAUAAGUGAAGCACAUUGAGAUGAAGCAGCUUGUCCAAAGUAGCUACAGCUUGUUGAAAAAGCCAGAAAACAGAAUGUCUUUUGACUCCUGGCCAGUCCUACGUUCUGGACUCCUCCUUGGGAGUCAGAUGGAAACACUGGAUUUAGUUAUAACUGCAUUAUCAGAGUGGAAGCAGGCAGAUUUCUGCCCAAAAUUAAUGCUAUGCCCAGAACUUUUGUGUGGCAGAGACCUGUGGACAGCAGAGCAUCCAAUAGGAAAGGCUCAUGCCCCACCAAAACUGAGGUGUGACCCCACAAAUAGGAGCUAAACAUGGUUUCGGAUGCCAAGGUCCUUUGGAGGAGAAUAGGGUUAGCAAGUAUGCAGAAAGAGUCUAUUCUCUAAAGCACGAUCUGGACAAGCAGUUGCGUUUAAAGGCCUUGUGGAAAAAAAGCUUUUAAGGAGAUUACAUCAUAGCUACUUUCUGUGUUAACACUCUGCUCUGGCAUUUAUCUUUACAAUGGGCGCACACGUCAGCUACUGCCCUCUGUCACAUGUUUUUCUAACCAGCAGUCUCCUGAUGAGAUGCUGCUUCUCCCUCUCCAUCUGAUUCUCCCUCAGCAAAAGGACAGAACUGUUUUUACCCUGAUAAAUCACACGCUACCAGUUCUGACCUAAGCAAAUUAGAAUUGAAGCCUAUGGCAGUCUCCUUGCAACAGCACAGUCUGGAAAGCCUCAUGGGUACCAUCUCAUUUCCCUGCUGUCCAUAACCUGGACAAGCACCAAGCUGAGUAGCACAGAGCAAGAUGACACCCCUAUAAAGUCCUACUGCAUGACAGCCAUCAUUCAGGCAAAUAUUGCUGUACUUGGUGGUCUGAUUUUUGAAAUGCAGGAGUUGAUCAGAUUUGUGGGUAUCUAGUGCCUCCAAGAAACAGGUCACAAACGCCUGAAUGUUUUGUGUUAAAUUAGUACUCUGGAAUUUAUUUCAGAAGGUGACCUGAUUUCUGCAGGUUCUAAGCACUUAGAUGCUUUAAUUUGGAUGCCUGAUAUGCCAGACUUGAUUUAACCUUCUGUGUUUUAUCAUACAACCUCUCUUCUCUGAGAUAUUGUCCCAUGGGAACUGAAAUCCCUCUAAAGACUUCAGCCUCAGCUCUUUCCUUCCUCGUUCAGUGAUUAUUAUUAUUAUUUAUUUAUUUAUUUACUUAUUUAUUUUGCAAGAUCCUUACCCUAUCCUGAGAUUCUCCUCUAGUCACAGUAGCCCAAGUGUUUCUAUAGUGUUCCAAGGUAUAGGAAUAAAAAGUUCUAUCUUUGCACAGUUAUUCCUUUCCCAAUUCUGUAAUGGGAUAAAUAAUUUUUCCCUAGCAACCAGCUGCGUUUCCUCGAUCUCUUCACCAACCUUGUAUUCAAGCAAAAACAUCAGUGAGGCAGUGGUUUAGAGCAGAACAACAACCGCACAGCCAUGACCUGAAGACAGUGAUUCUCAGUUCUUUAGAACAGAGGCACUGCUGAGAGGCACAGACAUACGCAAGUGCUGUACCAUCCACUUCAUUGCACAAACACACAGCCCAGCUCUCCAGUGGCAAGCGAUGUGCAGAGAGCAUGAGCUACCCUUCAGAAGGGAAAAUCAGUGCCUGUGAUCAGCUGCUUGCCUAAGCAAACUGUGGGAUCCCCUCAUAUUCAGGAAAGAGGCCUGAAAACACAAACUCAUCGUGCAGAGUCUGCCUUUGCCAUUUCAGUGCUCUGAUACCUGAAAAUAUA